UACACUCCUACGGGAGGCAGCAGUGGGGAAUUUUGGACAAUGGACGAAAGCCUGAUCCAGCAAUGCCGCGUGAGUGAAGAAGGCCUUCGGGUUGUAAAGCUCUUUUGUCAGGGAAGAAACGGUGAAAGCUAAUAUCUUUUGCUAAUGACGGUACCUGAAGAAUAAGCACCGGCUAACUACGUGCCAGCAGCCGCGGUAAUACGUAGGGUGCAAGCGUUAAUCGGAAUUACUGGGCGUAAAGCGUGCGCAGGCGGUUUUGUAAGUCUGAUGUGAAAUCCCCGGGCUCAACCUGGGAAUUGCAUUGGAGACUGCAAGGCUAGAAUCUGGCAGAGGGGGGUAGAAUUGCACGUGUAGCAGUGAAAUGCGUAGAUAUGUGGAGGAACACCGAUGGCGAAGGCAGCCCCCUGGGUCAAGAUUGACGCUCAUGCACGAAAGCGUGGGGAGCAAACAGGAUUAGAAACCCUAGUAGUCCC
rnacentral:rRNA from 1 species